AUGGCAUACUGCUCAGUAACACGUGGAUAACCUGCCCUUGGGUCUGGGAUAACCCCGGGAAACUGGGGAUAAUAUCGGAUAACGCAUAUGUGCUGGAAUGCUUUAUGCGUAAAACGGAUUCGUCCGCCCAAGGAUGGGUCUGCGGCCUAUCAGGUAGUAGUGGGUGUAAUGUACCUACUAGCCAACAACGGGUACGGGUUGUGAGAGCAAGAGCCCGGAGAUGGAUUCUGAGACAUGAAUCCAGGCCCUACGGGGCGCAGCAGGCGCGAAAACUUUACAAUGCGGGAAACCGUGAUAAGGGAACACCGAGUGCCAGCAUCAUAUGCUGGCUGUCCAGAUGUGUAAACUACAUCUGUUAGCAAGGGCCGGGCAAGACCGGUGCCAGCCGCCGCGGUAACACCGGCGGCCCGAGUGGUGACCGUUAUUAUUGGGUCUAAAGGGUCCGUAGCCGGUUUGGUCAGUCCUCCGGGAAAUCUGAUAGCUUAACUGUUAGGCUUUCGGGGGAUACUGCCAGGCUUGGAACCGGGAGAGGUAAGAGGUACUACAGGGGUAGGAGUGAAAUCUUGUAAUCCCUGUGAGACCACCUGUGGCGAAGGCGUCUUACCAGAACGGGUUCGACGGUGAGGGACGAAAGCUGGGGGCACGAACCGGAUUAGAUACCCGGGUAGUCCCAGCCGUAAACUAUGCUCGCUAGGUGUCAGGCAUGGCGCGACCGUGUCUGGUGCCGCAGGGAAGCCGUGAAGCGAGCCACCUGGGAAGUACGGCCGCAAGGCUGAAACUUAAAGGAAUUGGCGGGGGAGCACAACAACGGGUGGAGCCUGCGGUUUAAUUGGACUCAACGCCGGACAACUCACCGGG
rnacentral:rRNA from 1 species